CCUACGGGGGGCUGCAGUGAGGAAUAUUGGUCAAUGGCCGGAAGGCUGAACCAGCCAAGCCGCGUGAAGGACGAAGGUGCCAAGCAUUGUAAACUUCUUUUGUCAAGGGACAAAAUCAGGCUCGAGAGCCUGACCGAGGGUACUUGAAGAAAAAGCAUCGGCUAACCCCGGCCCAGCAGCCCCGGUAAUACGGGGGAUGCGAGGGUAUCCGGGAUUUAUUGGGGUUAAAGGGUGCGUAGGCGGACUGUUAAGUUAGCGGUAAAAGCCCGGGGCUCAACCCCGGCGAGCCGUUGAUACUGGCUGUCUUGAGAUGUCGAGAGGUAUGCGGAAUGCGCGGUGUAGCGGUGAAAUGCGUAGAGAUUGCGCAGAACUCCGAUUGCGAAGGCAGCAUACCGGCGGCGAUCUGACGCUGAGGCACGAAAGCGUGGGUAUCGAACAGGAUUAGAUACCCGAGUAGUC
rnacentral:rRNA from 1 species